rnacentral:rRNA from 1 species
UACGUAGGAUGCAAGCGUUGUCCGGAAUUAUUGGGCGUAAAGAGCGCGCAGGCGGUAUGACAAGUCAGAUGUGAAAGAGGCCGGCUUAACCGGCAAAGGGUCAUUUGAAACUGUCAGACUAGAGUGCAGCAGAGGAUAGUGGAAUUCCCGGUGUAGCGGUAGAAAUGCGCAGAUAUCGGGAGGAACACCGGUGGCGAAGGCGGUUCUCUGGGCCUUACCUGACGCUGAGGAGCGAAAGCGUGGGGAGCGAACAGG